GAUGAAGAACGCAGCAAAAUGCGAUAAGUAAUGUGAAUUGCAGAAUUCAGUGAAUCAUCGAAUCUUUGAACGCACAUUGCGCCCGCCAGUAUUCUGGCGGGCAUGCCUGUUCGAGCGUCAUUUUAACCCUCAAGCACAGCUUGGUGUUGGGACUCGCGUUAAUUCGCGUUCCUCAAAUUGAUUGGCGGUCACGUCGAGCUUCCAUAGCGUAGUAGUAAAACCCUCGUUACUGGUAAUCGUCGCGGCCACGCCGUUAAACCCCAACUUCUGAAUGUUGACCUCGGAUCAGGUAGGAAUACCCGCUGAACUUAAGCAUAUCAAUAAGCGGAGGA
rnacentral:misc_RNA from 1 species